GAUGAACGCUGGCGGCGUGCCUAAUACAUGCAAGUCGAGCGAACAGACGAGGAGCUUGCUCCUCUGACGUUAGCGGCGGACGGGUGAGUAACACGUGGAUAACCUACCUAUAAGACUGGGAUAACUUCGGGAAACCGGAGCUAAUACCGGAUAAUAUAUUGAACCGCAUGGUUCAAUAGUGAAAGACGGUUUUGCUGUCACUUAUAGAUGGAUCCGCGCCGCAUUAGCUAGUUGGUAAGGUAACGGCUUACCGAGGCAACGAUGAGUAGCCGACCUGAGAGGGUGACCGGCCACACUGGAACUGAGACACGGUCCAGACUCCUACGGGAGGCAGCAGGAGGGAAUCUUCCGCAAUGGGCGAAAGCCUGACGGAGCAACGCCGCGUGAGUGAUGAAGGUCUUCGGAUCGUAAAACUCUGUUAUUAGGGAAGAACAAAUGUGUAAGUAACUAUGCACGUCUUGACGGUACCUAAUCAGAAAGCCACGGCUAACUACGUG
rnacentral:rRNA from 1 species